AGAAAAAACUAUCCGUGGAACAGGGCUGCUAACUUUGUUUUGGGUGGUUGAGCUCACCCUUUUUCUU
rnacentral:tRNA from 2 species